rnacentral:lncRNA from 1 species
CAUCAGCACCACUCAGAAGUAUUUAUUAAACCUCUACCCUGUCUGGGGACUCUGUGUGUGUGUGUGUCUGUGUGUGUGUGUGCAUGCAUGGGUGUGUGUGGAUGUGCAGUUGUGUCCGCAAGAAACAAGGGUGCAGUACAGGGAAAGUUUUAAAUAAACGUGACACUGGAGCUAAGAUUUCAGAGUUUCCAACCUUGAUGAAGCGAUAAAAUCUGGAUCUAAAAAUUAACAACAAUAGGAUCAGGUGUUUUUUAGAUGAAUGACAGAAAGAAUAAACCCUCCAGGAGCCAAGAGGAGGGGGAGGUCAGUUCUGGCUGGAGCCACCCAGGAGAGCUGAACUGAAGACUUGCAAUUUGCGCCUACCCUGGAAGGAAGAGGCAGAUUCAACAGGCAAAGAGGAAGAACGGGGCAGGGUCAAGAGAGCUCAUGACCUGAUGAUCUGAGGACCCAACCUGAGGAAAUAAGAGGACACUCAAAGGAACAGAUGAAGGCCAGUGAGAAGGAGGAACCUUGUUCUUCCAGGCCUGGACAGCCAGCGCGUGACCGCAUUCAGCCCCUCCCACUCUUUGUGUCCCCCUGAUGGAGCUCUGAAUGCUCUGGGCUGGAGACCAUGGGACAGCACCUUUGAGAACCAUGUCACUGCUCUGACACACCUGCUGAGAUUCAGAAGGGUGGGGAGCAGGGGAGAGGCCCACUCUGCCUGUCCCCCAGGUGAUGGGUGAAUGUGCAAUUCCUCCAACACUGGGUGGGAAUGACUAACAGAGGAGUCCAGGCAGCUGCAGGGGGAAUCAGUUUAGCAGCUUUCUGUUGUCGACUCCACGACUUCCACAGUGAUGUCACACUCGGGUACAUCAGUGCUGUCCUACUCCAGCAGCCACGCGGCAGGGAGCCAUGGCCAGCAUGGUGCUGAGGCCAGCGGGAGACGGAGGAGGGAACGGCAUCUCUCCUGGGACUUCCCCUCUCUGGCUUUGCUGAACCCUGAGUGGACUCUCCUGGACCCCGAGUGGACUCUCUUGGACCCUGAGUGGACUCUUCCUGGCUCAUGCCUCAGAGCUCAUGGAUGCAGUCCCCAUGGGGAUCACAUGGUUUCAGCUCAAAAUGUGGCUGGCCCAUUAGCCUGUCCCUGGAAAGCCCAGGUUUGACCACAGAAGCAAAGAGAACAUUCAAUAAAGAGCUUGCUGGAGGGCUCACGUGUGACUCACAGAGGUUGGACGAUGGUUGUAUAUUAUUCUGGG